UACGGAGGGAGCUAGCGUUAUUCGGAAUUACUGGGCGUAAAGCGUACGUAGGCGGCUUUGCAAGUUAGAGGUGAAAGCCUGGAGCUCAACUCCAGAACUGCCUUUAAAACUGCAUCGCUUGAAUCCAGGAGAGGUGAGUGGAAUUCCGAGUGUAGAGGUGAAAUUCGUAGAUAUUCGGAAGAACACCAGUGGCGAAGGCGGCUCACUGGACUGGUAUUGACGCUGAGGUACGAAAGCGUGGGGAGCAACCAGG
rnacentral:rRNA from 1 species